UGCAAGUCGAGCGGCAGCGCGGGGGCAACCCUGGCGGCGAGCGGCGAACGGGUGAGUAAUAUAUCGGAACGUGUCCUAGAGUGGGGGAUAGCCCGGCGAAAGCCGGAUUAAUACCGCAUACGCUCGAGAGAGGAAAGUGGGGGACCGCAAGGCCUCACGCCCAAGGAGCGGCCGAUAUCGGAUUAGCUAGUUGGCGGGGUAAAAGCCCACCAAGGCGACGAUCCGUAGCUGGUCUGAGAGGAUGAUCAGCCACACUGGAACUGAGACACGGUCCAGACUCCUACGGGAGGCAGCAGUGGGGAAUUUUGGACAAUGGGGGCAACCCUGAUCCAGCCAUUCCGCGUGAGUGAAGAAGGCCUUCGGGUUGUAAAGCUCUUUCGGCAGGAACGAAACGGUCCGUGCUAAUACCCCGGACUACUGACGGUACCUGCAGAAGAAGCACCGGCUAACUACGUGCCAGCAGCCGCGGUAAUACGUAGGGUGCGAGCGUUAAUCGGAUUUACUGGGCGUAAAGCGUGCGCAGGCGGCGGCUCAAGUCAGGUGUGAAAUCCCCGGGCUUAACCUGGGAAUUGCGUCUGAAACUAGGUCGCUGGAGUGCGGCAGAGGGGGGUGGAAUUCCACGUGUAGCAGUGAAAUGCGUAGAGAUGUGGAGGAACACCGAUGGCGAAGGCAGCC
rnacentral:rRNA from 1 species